GCUCAGGACGAACGCUGGCGGCGUGCCUAAUACAUGCAAGUCGAACGAACUCUGGUAUUGAUUGGUGCUUGCAUCAUGAUUUACAUUUGAGUGAGUGGCGAACUGGUGAGUAACACGUGGGAAACCUGCCCAGAAGCGGGGGAUAACACCUGGAAACAGAUGCUAAUACCGCAUAACAACUUGGACCGCAUGGUCCGAGCUUGAAAGAUGGCUUCGGCUAUCACUUUUGGAUGGUCCCGCGGCGUAUUAGCUAGAUGGUGGGGUAACGGCUCACCAUGGCAAUGAUACGUAGCCGACCUGAGAGGGUAAUCGGCCACAUUGGGACUGAGACACGGCCCAAACUCCUACGGGAGGCAGCAGUAGGGAAUCUUCCACAAUGGACGAAAGUCUGAUGGAGCAACGCCGCGUGAGUGAAGAAGGGUUUCGGCUCGUAAAACUCUGUUGUUAAAGAAGAACAUAUCUGAGAGUAACUGUUCAGGUAUUGACGGUAUUUAACCAGAAAGCCACGGCUAACUACGUGCCAGCAGCCGCGGUAAUACGUAGGUGGCAAGCGUUGUCCGGAUUUAUUGGGCGUAAAGCGAGCGCAGGCGGUUUUUUAAGUCUGAUGUGAAAGCCUUCGGCUCAACCGAAGAAGUGCAUCGGAAACUGGGAAACUUGAGUGCAGAAGAGGACAGUGGAACUCCAUGUGUAGCGGUGAAAUGCGUAGAUAUAUGGAAGAACACCAGUGGCGAAGGCGGCUGUCUGGUCUGUAACUGACGCUGAGGCUCGAAAGUAUGGGUAGCAAACAGGAUUAGAUACCCUGGUAGUCCAUACCGUAAACGAUGAAUGCUAAGUGUUGGAGGGUUUCCGCCCUUCAGUGCUGCAGCUAACGCAUUAAGCAUUCCGCCUGGGGAGUACGGCCGCAAGGCUGAAACUCAAAGGAAUUGACGGGGGCCCGCACAAGCGGUGGAGCAUGUGGUUUAAUUCGAAGCUACGCGAAGAACCUUACCAGGUCUUGACAUACUAUGCAAAUCUAAGAGAUUAGACGUUCCCUUCGGGGACAUGGAUACAGGUGGUGCAUGGUUGUCGUCAGCUCGUGUCGUGAGAUGUUGGGUUAAGUCCCGCAACGAGCGCAACCCUUAUUAUCAGUUGCCAGCAUUAAGUUGGGCACUCUGGUGAGACUGCCGGUGACAAACCGGAGGAAGGUGGGGAUGACGUCAAAUCAUCAUGCCCCUUAUGACCUGGGCUACACACGUGCUACAAUGGAUGGUACAACGAGUUGCGAACUCGCGAGAGUAAGCUAAUCUCUUAAAGCCAUUCUCAGUUCGGAUUGUAGGCUGCAACUCGCCUACAUGAAGUCGGAAUCGCUAGUAAUCGCGGAUCAGCAUGCCGCGGUGAAUACGUUCCCGGGCCUUGUACACACCGCCCGUCACACCAUGAGAGUUUGUAACACCCAAAGUCGGUGGGGUAACCUUUUAGGAACCAGCCGCCUAAGUGGGACAGAUGAUUAGGGUGAAGUCGUACAAGGGGUAA
rnacentral:rRNA from 1 species